rnacentral:lncRNA from 1 species
AACAACAAGAAGGCACGCACAAAAGUGGAACCCCAUCAUUAUAUAUUUAGAAUUUUCUUCCAACAAAAUAUUGCAUUUCCAUCAUCAUCACCAGCAGUAUCCCCAUUCCCUUUUACUAUACUACAAAAGCUAAAGUUAAGCUACCUCAGUAGAUACAGGAACAGGAAGCCAUCACUAUAGACAUUACCAUUACAAUCAUUCACCAGUAGUAUUCCCCAUCCCUUUGCAACACUACAAAAGCUAAAGCUACUUCAGUAGAUAUAGGAAUUGGAAGUCAUUAUAUACGGUUUC